UUUUUCCAGGUUGCUGAAGGAAUUUUAGCUUUAAAAGAAAGUGUAAAAUCAUAGAGUGACAUUUUUUCAGCAAAUCAACAUUUUAAAAGGGGAAAAUGUUUAUCAGAACCUUGUCGCGGUGGUCUAGAGGUAGAACUUUCACCCUACAUGCGGAAGGUCGGGGUUCAAACCCCAGCCGCGACAGACCUAAGUCGUUAAAAAAAACAGGUAGUGAAAGUUCCAUCGCCAUUGACUCGAAAUCAGGUGUGAAUGCCACGAGUACUCGGAGAUUACCUUAAAAACGUAUUUCCUUUGUCACAGAAGGUGUGACACGAUAACGAACCCUCACUGCUCAAUGGCAGUAAGUGUCGAGCAUAUGCCUAAAUUUGAAGCCCUUCAUCGGUAGUGGUGACAUCCCCACAUGAGUGAAAAAUUAUCGAGUGGGACGUUAAACAAGAUACAAUCAAUCCAUUAAUUAUCAGAACCUUGAGUUAUAUAAUUGCAUUUCUGAGGAUUUGAGUAUGUCCAAAGAGAAGUAAGUCUGUAAGGUUUGAUUUAAACCCAACACAACCAAUAGUUCUACAAGUGUACCUGGAAUAUACCUUGAUGAGAUCCAGGGGCCUUCGUGGCGUAGUGAUUAGAACAUCGCGCUCAAAAUCCCGAUUUGAAAAUACAUGAGUGUGUUUCACGCAGGUAUAGUUUUAUUUAUGAACCUUUAUGGAGUAUGUCGGCUUGAAGCAUCACUGUUCACACCAUCAUGUAUCAAAACCGACAUUUAUUUCUUAAAUCUAUUCUCGUGUGAUAAUCGCGCAGUAUCCUCGUGCCUAUGCUACACUGAACUGUGGAGACAGGAAGGGACAAUAUCUAAAUCAUAAAAACGUUCAAUAUUGUAUACACAUAAAAGUGAUAAACACCCUUAUCUAGAUCACGAGUAUGAUUUUCUGUAACUCCAGGUCAUCUCCUAAUCCUGUUCAGAAUCACAGUUUAUAUCUUGGAUUAUCAUUUUCAAUCUGAAACCAUUAUUUAAUUGAUUGUUCGCAUUACAAGACCGAUCAUGUUCAGAUGGUUUCAUUACAAAAUACUUAGUAUGAAAAUCACGUAAAUAUUUGAUGAAGUUACAAGGCGCAUUACGUUUCAUUUUGUUCUGAUCGGAAUUUCAUACGACACUUAUAUCAGUCACUUUUCCCUGCGUAAUUAUUAUGGCAUUUUAAAACCAUAGAACUAUCCUUUGAUUAGCUGGUAAAAAUCAAACGCAAUUUUUAUUUCACCCUGUGAAACAUUAUGGACAUCGUGCGUUUUGUUGGAUUGCUGAUUGUUGAUUGUUUUUGCCAGUGGGAAUUCUAUAUCUAAAAUGACACCCUGUGUUACGUUAUUUAUGGAUCGUAUUUCCUUUCUACAAACUCCUUUAUUAUCACUAUAUGACCAUAUCAUUUAAGUUAAGGUAGAGACCGAUAGCAACCACGUGAUCAGUAAAAAUCGUGUAUUUUCACGUGAAAUUAUUUUUCGGAAUUCCGUACAUCGCCAUAGAGUAGUUGAAAAACAAAAAGGGGUUCCGAAAGUACAAGUUGUUGCUGUGACUGAAUCGAUGAUUGAGAGGGUCGUCUCGACGAAAGAUAUCAUAGAAAUUUGGCCAUAGUUUAGAUUAGGAAUACGUCAAUGUAAUAAUAGUGGACUAAAUGUUUCGUCCCUGCAGAAUGACACUUUUUACCUCACGAAAUUCACCACCAUGCAUAGCUGCGCUACGUAAACAAAGUUGUUGAUGUAGCAUGAUCGUGAUGUCCGAGUGCUGCGAGUUUCAAUACUGUUUAUGUAGUCAUUGAGAGUUUAAACAAAGUUUCUUCUGAGAAGAGGAAUUCGAUGGAUGCAUUCAACGUGGACAACGAAAUCAUAAUUUCGUUUGGUAAGUGAAAAAAAUGGCAAAUUGAAUUUGUAUUCAACCCACUUUUCCUCUGCUAUUUCACAAUGCGAUUUUAUAAUAACAUCUAUAAACGCACAAUUUGGAGCUGUUUCAUUUUUUGUGCAUUUAUGUAUUCCAUAUGUGCCCAAAAUAUAACUCCUACAUGUGCAUGUAAUUGCAAAUGGAUGUCAUGUAUAUGCCAGAUUUGGAAAAAAAUAGGGCUCUCACAAGUUUGAGGGGGGGGGGGGGGUGUUGCACUAAAAUUCUAUUUGGUAUAAAUGAUAGUACUUAUACUAUCUUGAAAUUUCAUUGACCUAAGAGAUAUUUCAAAUCUGGGGUUUCAUGUUUCAUGCAAGCAUGUAGGUCUACAAAACUUUAUUUAAAAUAUUUGUAAAAUCACAAGCCCCCCUCAUAGGCAAAUAAAUGUAUUGUAUGAAAAUAAGAUAUGUAUGUCCUUCACUUGACCCACACUCCGUAAAGGAGACAGGUCUGAUAAAUCUAGAGUUGACUUGUUUUGAUAUUAUUAGAAUGAACUGGCAGUUUAUGAAAACAUAUCUGUCAUCUCAUAUUGUAAUAUGAUAAUUAUGAUGUUUAUUCACCUCAUCAAGGACCCGGGGGUGGGAGGGUAUGCACAGUUUAAAUAGAAGGUAACUAUAACAAUAUGAAAUAAAUAACAAUCAUGCAGAUGUACUACUACUGCAAGAGUUCACAUUGCUGCACUGCACACAUUUAACAUACAUGUAGUGUUACAUAUGUAAUACUGAUUUCAGACAAGAUUUUAAAAAUUGACAUAAUAAAAUACAUGUUAUGUGUGUAAUUUUCAAUAUAUCAGCAUUUUAAAGUUCACUAAACAUGCAUUGAGACACACAAUUUCAAAAUUGACAUUGUCUAACACAGUAUAAUUAAUGAUUAAUACUGACUGUGCAAAUAUUAAUUAUGAUGAUUUUUUUCUAAGCAUCAUCCUAAGGACCAGUGCAAGUUGAAAUGGGCUUCCAGCCAACAACUUCAACAGCAAUUUGCCAUGAAAAUCAGCAAGAAAGGUACUUCAUUUACAUUGAUGUCAUAUCCCCUGGACCCCACAACUUUACAGGUUACAGAGAAAAUUCAAGAACUUCUGCAAAAUGUGGGACUUGGAUAAAAUCAAUAAUGUAUUUGUGAGCCCAGAGCAAUGGAUAUAUUGUGCAACAUACUAAAGUGUGAAUUUAAUGGAAAACAAGUACAUGUACUCAUGUAUUACAUGUCUUUUUUAAAGACAAUAAUAUUGUAUAAAUAUAGAGGAGGUGUCAUUGUUGAUUAUUCUAAGUUUUUGAUAUAUCAAAAUCAGUAAACAUUUAUAAAUGAAAAUAAAAUACCAAUUUUAUAACUUUAA